rnacentral:rRNA from 1 species
CCCACAUAUAAGAGGUAACGCCUGCCCAGUGACCAUGUGUUCAACGGCCGCGGUAUUCUGACCGUGCAAAGGUAGCGUAAUCACUUGUCUUUUAAAUAANGACUAGUAUGAAUGGCAUCACGAGAGUUCAACUGUCUCCCCCACCCAAUCAGUGAAACUGAUCUCCCCGUGCAGAAGCGGGGAUAAAAUCAUAAGACGAGAAGACCCCAUGGAGCUUUAAACUAAAGGCACUAGCCCUCAAAUUACCCCUAAGGGUAAAACAUUUAACUGGCUAAAGUGACCCGCCGUUUUCGGUUGGGGCGACCACGGAGAAAAACAGAUCCUCCGAGAUGAAAGGGAUAACCCUUAGCCAAGACCAACAAUUCUAAGCAAUAGAACGUCUAACACACUGAUCCAAUCAAAUUGAUCAACGAACCAAGUUACCCUGGGGAUAACAGCGCAAUCUAUUUUCAGAGUUCAUAUCGACAAAUAGGUUUACGACCUCGAUGUUGGAUCAGGGCCUCCUAGCGGUGCAGCCGCUGCUAAGGGUUCGUUUGUUCAACGAUUAAAGCCCUA